rnacentral:rRNA from 1 species
CGCGUAGGCGGCCUUGUAAGUCGGAUGUGAAAGCCCCGGGCUUAACCUGGAUUGCAUUCGAUACUGCAGGGCUAGAGUAUGGGAGAGGGAAGUGGAAUUUCCGGUGUAGCGGUGAAAUGCGUAGAUAUCGGAAGGAACACCAGUGGCGAAGGCGACUUCCUGGCCCAAUACUGACGCUGAGGUGCGAAAGCGUGGGGAGCAAACA